UAAAAUGUAAAAUUAUAAAAUUGAAUUAUUAAUAGAUAUAGGCUUAAAAGUUAAAAAAUUUGGCGGUAUUUUAGUCUUUUCAGAGGAACCUGUCCUAUAAUUGAUAUUCCACGAUUAGAAUUACUUAUUUUAUUAAUUUGUAUAUCGUCGUAGUUGAAUAUUUUAAAAGAAGUUAAAUAUUCAUAAUUUUUAAUUAAAAAACAAAUCAGAUCAAGGUGCAGUUUAUAAAUAAGAAGAGAUGGGUUACAAUAAAAAUAUUUUUGGAUUUUAAGUUUAAAAUUUAAUUGAAAAAGGAUUUGAAAGUAAUUUAGUUUAUAUAAAUUAAAUGAUUUUAGCUCUAGAAUAUGC
rnacentral:rRNA from 1 species